rnacentral:rRNA from 1 species
GACAGAGGUGGCAAGCGUUGUUCGGAUUUACUGGGCGUAAAGAGCUCGUAGGCGGCUCAGUAAGUCGGGUGUGAAACCCUCAGGCUCAACCUGGGGACGCCACCCGAUACUGCUGUGGCUAGAGUCCAGUAGGGGAGUGUGGAAUUCCCGGUGUAGCGGUGAAAUGCGCAGAUAUCGGGAGGAACACCAGCGGCGAAGGCGGCACUCUGGGCUGGUACUGACGCUGAGGAGCGAAAGCGUGGGUAGCAAACAGG